UACGUAUGUCGCAAGCGUUAUCCGGAUUUAUUGGGCGUAAAGCGCGUCUAGGCGGUUUAGUAAGUCUGAUGUGAAAAUGCGGGGCUCAACUCCGUAUUGCGUUGGAAACUGCCAAACUAGAGUACUGGAGAGGUAGGCGGAACUACAAGUGUAGAGGUGAAAUUCGUAGAUAUUUGUAGGAAUGCCGAUGGGGAAGCCAGCCUACUGGACAGAUACUGACGCUAAAGCGCGAAAGCGUGGGUAGC
rnacentral:rRNA from 1 species